GUCUUUUUGAUAUUUAUUUAAGGUCAGGUCUGCCCAAUGAUUUAUAUUUAAUGGCUGCAGUAUUUUAACUGUACGAAGGUAGCAUAAUCAUUUGUUUAAUAAUUUUGGACUAGUAUGAAUGGCUUGAUAAGAGUUAAUCUUUCUUAUUUAUAUAAAUAAGAAAUUAUUUUUUUAGUUAAAAAACUGAAAUUUUUUUAUAGGACGAGAAGACCCUAUAGAACUUAUAUAAAUUUAUAUAUAAAUUUAUAUAUAAAUUUAUUUAAUUGGGGUGAUUUUAAUUUUUAAUUAACAAUUUUUUUAUUUUAUCAUUUAUUUUUGAAUUUUAUGAUCCAAUUUUUUGAUUAUAAGAUUAAGUUACCUUAGGGAUAACAGCGUAAUUUAAUUGGAGAGUUCAUAUCGAUAAUUUAAGUUUGCGA
rnacentral:rRNA from 1 species